CUGUCUACGGGACGUAGCAGUGGGGAGUAUUGCACAAUGGGGGAAACCCUGAUGCAGCAACGCCGCGUGAAGGAAGAAGUAUUUCGGUAUGUAAACUUCUAUCAGCAGGGAAGAAAAUGACGGUACCUGACUAAGAAGCCCCGGCUAACUACGUGCCAGCAGCCGCGGUAAUACGUAGGGGGCAAGCGUUAUCCGGACUUACUGGGUGUAAAGGGAGCGUAGGCGGUGCAGCAAGUCAGAAGUGAAAGCCCGGGGCUCAACUCCGGGACUGCUUUUGAAACUGUUGAACUAGAUUGCAGGAGAGG
rnacentral:rRNA from 1 species